rnacentral:rRNA from 1 species
GACGAACGCUGGCGGCGUGCUUAACACAUGCGAGUCGAACGGAAAGGCCCUGCUUUUGUGGGGUGCUCGAGUGGCGAAAGGGUGAGUAACACGUGAGUAACCUGCCCUUGACUUUGGGAUAACUUCAGGGAACAGGGGUUCUAACCGGAUAGGAUCUCCUGCUACAUGGUGGGUAUUGGUAAGUUUUGGCGGUUGGGGAUGGACUCGCGGCUUCUCAGUGUGUUGGUGGGGUAGUGUCUUACCAAGGCAUUGACGCGUAGCCGGACUGGGAGGGUGACAGGCCCAAUUGGGACUGGGAAGCGGCCCAGACGGCUACGGGAGGCAGCAGUGAGGAAUAUACCACGAUGGGCGGAAGCCUGAUGCAGCAGCGCCGCGUGGUAGAUGACGGCCUGCGGAGUGGAAACCGCUUGCGCCUGUGACGAAGCGUGAGUGACGGUAAUGGGUAAAGAAGCACCGGCUAACUACGUG